rnacentral:rRNA from 1 species
UCCGUAGGCGGCCAUGCAAGUCUUGGGUGAAAUCCCCCGGCUCAACUGGGGAACUGCCUGGGAAACUGUGUGGCUUGAGUACGGUAGAGGGAGAUGGAAUUCCGGGUGUAGCGGUGAAAUGCGUAGAUAUCCGGAGGAACACCAGUGGCGAAGGCGAUCUCCUGGGCCGAUACUGACGCUGAGGGACGAAAGCUAGGGGAGCAAACA